AGAGUUUGAUCAUGGCUCAGGAUUAACGCUGGCGGUAUGCCUAACACAUGCAAAGUCGAACGGAAUACUAAUUAAGAGAAUCUCACACUAGUGAGAGGUUCUCACGAGUAGUAUUUAGUGGCGGACGGGUGAGUAACACGUUGGAACCUGCCCCGAAGUGGGGAAUAACUGCUCGAAAGAGUAGCUAAUACCCCAUAGUAUCCGGUUUAUCCGGAUUAAAGAUUUAUCGCUUCGGGAGGGGCCUGCGUCUGAUUAGCUAGUUGGUGAGGUAAAAAGCUCACCAAGGCGACGAUCAGUAGCUGGUUCGAGAGGAUAACCAGCCACACUGGGACUGAGAUACGGCCCAGACUCCUACGGGAGGCAGCAGUGAGGAAUCUUCCACAAUGGGCGCAAGCCUGAUGGAGCAAUACCGCGUGCAGGAAGACGCUUUUCGGAGUGUAAACUGCUUUUGUCGUCGAAGAUUAUGACUGUAGACGAAGAAUAAGGACCGGCUAACUACGUG
rnacentral:rRNA from 1 species